UGCAUGCCAGGGAGGCCAAGCUGGCUCAAAGAGCAACCAGCCACCUCUGCAAGGUCUGGCCAGGGCUACAGAAGGCCCCCCUGGAUGGUAAUCCUGGCUGCUUUCUGUACUUGAACAUAAAGUCUUCCUCAAGACGGCCUGUGGUCUGCCUCCAGGCAAGUAAGAAGCCCGCGGUGCUAUACAACUCGAGGCAUGGACUGGAGCCCCAAAGGCAGCGCACACACUGCUCCUGAGCCUGCUGCUCGUUUCCUCUCUAUGGCUCCAUUUGUAGCACUGUU
rnacentral:lncRNA from 1 species